rnacentral:rRNA from 1 species
CCUACGGAAGGCAGCAGUGGGGAAUAUUGCACAAUGGGGGAAACCCUGAUGCAGCGACGCCGCGUGAAGGAUGAAGUAUUUCGGUAUGUAAACUUCUAUCAGCAGGGAAGAAAAUGACGGUACCUUACUAAGAAGCCCCGGCUAACUACGUGCCAGCAGCCGCGGUAAUACGUAGGGGCCAAGCGUUAUCCGGAUUUACUGGGUGUAUGGGGAGCGUAGACGGUAUGGCAAGUCUGAUGUGAAAACCCGGGGCUAAACCCCGGGACUGCAUUGGAACCUGCCGAACUAGAGUGUCGGAGAGGCAAGUGGAAGUCCUAGUGUAGCGGUGAAAUGCGUAGAUAUUAGGAGGAACACCAGGGGCGAAGGCGGCUUGCUGGACGAUGACUGACGUUGAGGCUCGAAAGCGUGGGGAGCAAACAGGAUUAGAUACCCCUGUAGUC